rnacentral:rRNA from 1 species
CCUACGGGAGGCAGCAGUGGGGAAUAUUGCGCAAUGGGCGAAAGCCUGACGCAGCGACGCCGCGUGCGGGAUGAAGGUCUUCGGAUCGUAAACCUCUGUCAGCAGGGAAGAACGGUUACUGUGCUAUUUAGCAGUGAAUUGACGGUACCUGUAAAGGACGCACCGGGUAACUCCGUGCCAGCAGCCGCGGUAAUACGGAGGGUGCGAGCGUUAGUCGGAAUUACUGGGUGUAAAGGGCUCGUAGGCGGUAUGACAAGUUAAGGGGGAAAUCCCCGCGCUUAACGUGGGAACUGCCUUUGAAACUGGCAAACUAGAGUGUGUGAGAGGAUAGUGGAA